rnacentral:rRNA from 1 species
UACGUAGGGUGCAAGCGUUGUCCGGAAUUAUUGGGCGUAAAGAGCUUGUAGGCGGUUUGUCGCGGCUGCUGUGAAAUUUCGGGGCUCAACCCCGAACUUGCAGUGGGUACGGGCAGACUAGAGUGUGGUAGGGGAGACUGGAAUUCCUGGUGUAGCGGUGAAAUGCGCAGAUAUCAGGAGGAACACCGAUGGCGAAGGCAGGUCUCUGGGCCAUAACUGACGCUGAGAAGCGAAAGCAUGGGGAGCAAACGGG